GCGCGUGGAAAAACCGGGUAUUUCCCUAAAGGAGUUUAGUUGACACCAAGAGGUCACUCCCCUGAGGAGCCGGCUGCAGGGCGGUGAUUCGCCCCCGGGAUGGUGGCGGCGAUUCCGUGCGCCUUCCUGCAGUUGGACAUCAGUUAUAUUUCAGGCUUUCAAAGUAAACGACGAACUCAGCACUUUGGCAGAGUCCAAAAUCCGCCAGCGAACUUGGGUGCUAGAGUUCGGCGGGAAGAAAAGGUGACUCAGAGAUGCAGCACAUUUUUCUGGCACUUUCCACCGAGGAUACUCUAAUAAACGGGGGAGGGGGAAAGAGGGAGGGAAGGAGAGGAACACCCUCCUCCUCUUCCAGAAACUGCACCUCAGCCUGAAAUUUGGGUAUUAUUUUACCUGUAUUUAUAAAAACCACCACCGCACUCCCUGCACCAACUACCCAACUGCCUCGACUUCCAUUAAAAGCAGCUACUAAGACUAAAGAGAGGGAAAGACUAAGGGCGGGGUGGGGGGAGAGACAAAUAAAUAAAUAAAAGAGAGCGCGAGGGGGGAAGGGGA
rnacentral:lncRNA from 1 species